GAUGAGGAUGAUCAAGACAAUGGGAAUGACCAAACAAAUACAAAAGACAUCCUGAGUAAUACGUCCAACAGUGGACCAGACGAAGUGGACAAAGACAGAUCCAUCAGGACCAGUUUAUUUUGUGCUGACAUUCAAGAAAAUGAGGAAGACCUGUCAGAUUCUGAAUGGAACAUGCUUGAUUCUGAAGAUGAAAAUUAUGUGGACAGAGAAGACUUGAUGGAGGGCAGUACUAGUGGAGAAAACACAUCUGAAUUAUCAGUGGGAAAUGAAGAUAUAGCCGUUACUGGUGACAAGCCCUUGUAUCCUGGUGCACCUAUUUCAAAAGGAGAAAGUGUAUUAAUGCUGAUGUCCUAUCUGUUGCGGCAC